rnacentral:misc_RNA from 1 species
UCAAACUUGGUCAUUUAGAGGAAGUAAAAGUCGUAACAAGGUUUCCGUAGGUGAACCUGCGGAAGGAUCAUCAAUGUAGUUUUUUCACAUAGGUGAAGUGUGUGGUGUCUCUAGAUUGAUUACCAAUCAAAUCUGGUUGGUUAGUUUUUUUGGGGGGUCACACCUUUGCUUAUGAUUGGCCUAUCUAUCCUUUAUUAAACGUGAUGUUUGAUAAAAACAAAAAGUUGUGUUAAUAAUUCAGUUUUAUCCAAUAAAAUUUUGAAAACCAAAUACAACUAUCAACGAUGGAUCUCUUGGCUCUUGCAUCGAUGAAGAACGCAGC